rnacentral:rRNA from 1 species
GGACGAACGCUGSCGGCGUGCUUAACACAUGCAAGUCGAACGCUGAAGCUCCCAGCUUGCUGGGGGUGGAUGAGUGGCGAACGGGUGAGUAACACGUGAGUAACCUGCCCCGAACUCUGGGAUAAGCGCUGGAAACGGCGUCUAAUACUGGAUAUGUCCUAUCACCGCAUGGUGUGUAGGUGGAAAGAAUUUUGGUUCGGGAUGGACUCGCGGCCUAUCAGCUAGAUGGUGAGGUAAUGGCUCACCAUGGCGACGACGGGUAGCCGGCCUGAGAGGGUGACCGGCCACACUGGGACUGAGACACGGCCCAGACUCCUACGGGAGGCAGCAGUGGGGAAUAUUGCACAAUGGGCGCAAGCCUGAUGCAGCAACGCCGCGUGAGGGAUGACGGCCUUCGGGUUGUAAACCUCUUUUAGUAGGGAAGAAGCGAAAGUGACGGUACCUGCAGAAWAAGCACCGGCUAACUACGU